rnacentral:lncRNA from 1 species
AGGCUACUGGGUGUAGUCAAGUACUUGACUUGUCGGUGCGUGUGUCAAGAUGGGAUUGACCACUCCAGUUUAGGAGCUGUGUAUAGUCGUAUUUCAAUUUAGCAAAACCUUGGCCAGGGUAGUCCUUGUGAGGAGUCACAGGACUGUUUGAGUUGAGCAUGAUUCGGAUGAUCUAAUCAGGGUUGACAGUUUAACCCUGAGUCGUCCUAAACACAGAGGUUAAAAGGAUGAAUUAUACAAUAACCAUAUUCACAUAGGUU